AAGUUAUGAGACAUCAAGUCAAGUACAGAGAGGUAUAGUAAAUACUGAAGAUGUCAGAAAAAUGGUCAAUGAGUAGAUAAGAGAUAAGGGCAUCUCUAGUAUGAGAUGAUAACAGUUGGAACACUACAAUAAAAUCGGAGAGUAGAGGAAUGCGAUCUAUAGUACACGAAGAGUUUGAAAAAUAAAGUGUUUUAACUAUCUUUGCUUAGCUGGAGGAGUAAAUGCUUG
rnacentral:misc_RNA from 1 species